UAAUUGGUAUACUUGGAAGAGGCAGUUGAAUCUGUGACAAAGUUUGUUGGCAAAUGGCUGAAAAAGGUUAUCGAUAGUGUCUGGCUGCCUGCAAAUGAUAUUUUAAAGGAUUGUCAAGGUACAUAGCAUUACUGAGCAAAUGUCAAGCAACAAAGAAGCAUAUCAUAAGAUCAUGUAUGUUGCCAUUAAUUCAAUAACGAGCACCAUGUAACCUUUACUGGAGAACAGUUGGAUCCAAGAUAUUUGGGGUGUUACGCCAUCUAUGGAGCACAUUCUUUGUGUUGAUGUAUCAGAAUUGAGAAGGAUCUAUGAAUUGCUCAGAAGUAAGUCUUCUCUUAAGUUGUAGCAUAUGUGCAGCAUGUUUCUCUAUGGAGAACCUCCUGCAACAUCUGACGAGUAAUAUUAAGUUCCAUGUAAAGGCAUGUGGAUUUAAGCUAAAAAAAAGUGGGUGGGUGGGGGUGUCUGAUAUAUUGGUAGGUGUGAAGCUGGUGUAGAAUGCUCAUUGGAACAUGUGUUUCUGACUGUAGUCAUGCAAUUGUAUUGUACAUGUUAUUUCUUUAGUAACUCAGCUUCAGCUAUGACUUUGAUGCUUUUUUUUUUUCUCGAACACAUAGGAGAGCUAUAUGUAUCUUUGUACUAUAAGAAGGAAAAGAGAAUAUUUUGGUGCAGACAGUAUGUACAGGGUUAGGUUAGCUGUGAAUACAAUCAUUGGAUGCCUGCCGUGCAGAUGCUGUGGGGAUCCGACAGAAGGACCCAAGUCCUUGUAGCUUCGGCUUGGCUCCUCACAAGCUCAUUUCAACACUCAGCUCCGCAUGAUGCCCGAGGCUUGAUCGGCCCAGUUCCCUGCCGGUUGACGCUUUCUUUUCUCCUCUGCCAAGGCAACUGGUUUCCACCGCCGCUGCCUCUCUCCUCCCAUGGUUGUCGUCACAAGGCGACCAGGACCACCACUGGCCUGGUGGCAGUGCCAACAGGCCCCAGCAUGAGGCUUGUGCUGCUGAAAGGCAGCAUCUGGGUUCUACUGCUGUCAUCUUUAAGCACCACAGGAACUAGCCUGCUCUCAACAUCUCAGACGUACGAUCCACUCACUUUCAAGCUGAACAUGGACAACAAUCGUAUAUACAGUCACUCUGCACUUUACAUUUCACUUGGUGCUGUCCUUGCCUGUAAUCCCAAUCUUCACCAAUAAAUUACCAUACAUAUUACAUAAGGAUGUGUACACUGAUCAAAACAGUCCCAUACAAUCUCAGAAAAGAGAGACACCAUUGCUUCCAUACAAUCUGUGUGGCCUGUAGUAAAGAAUUUCUUUUGUUUGAUUCUAGGUGCAAUUUUUCCAUAGGAAUGAAACAAGCAAAAGUCUUCAAAAGUUGGCAUCGAUGGCAUAGCUGUUAAGACACUUGGAAGUGAUCAAACUCGGCAAAGUCUGAUGCAAAACCUCGCUGUAAUGCUGAAGAUCUGUUUGGCCUGCUUGGCUGCUUCAUCCUCGUGAUGAUCCCCACUUCAUCAGCCAAGGGCGUGUUUGAGAGGGUGAACGGAGGUGGCCAGGCCUGCCCCCAAGGCCUAGGCCGGGUUUAGCCGGUCCAAACGGCUGCAACCAGCUUUCUUUGUGCCUCUGCACGAAACUGGCCUGGUCCAGAGGAGAAUGUGUUUGUCAACCAGGCCGCAGCCUGACUUACCAUCCAACUACCAAAACGAGAUGGUGUUUGUGCACCAGGUCAGAGCCAAGCCCAUUGAUAUGUUGCAGAAAUAUGAGAAAGCAUGCAAUCCAAAGGCUUCAGAUUUCAAUUACAUAAAGCCUACAUAAAGCCUCAGUUAGUAAGCCUCAUCAUAAAUCAGUUCUUGGCAUUACUUCAAACAUCACAGGCUAGUCGAUCAACUUAAUGUUCCUUUAAAGGCAACCAUAACAGCAACAUAAUACAAACCAAAUGAGCAGCACCAAUAGGCAUUAGUGGACAUAUGCUUGUAGAUCAAGCAUGUACUGGUCAAGGAAAACAAACAUGAUCCACACAUAAUUGUGCCCAGUUACAACAUCAGAUUUGGGCCUCAGUUACAACAUCAUAGGCCAUUGAAAUUUAUAAAGU